rnacentral:snoRNA from 1 species
AAACAUUCAAAACAUUGCAAUCUCGGGCAUAAAUGAGCUAAUACUAAAGGAUAAGGAAGCCUCCAUAAAACCCUGAGAAGAGACAGUGAAAUUCCUCUUUGAAUCCUGUCUAAAGUCACAGCU